rnacentral:tRNA from 1 species
GGGCGCGUAGCUCAGGUGGAUAGAGCAUUAGCCUUCUAAGCUAAGGGUCGCUGGUUCGAGUCCAGCCGCGCCUACCA